AUUGAACGCUGGCGGCACGCUUAACACAUGCAAGUCGAGCGGGGGAAGGUAGCUUGCUACCGGACCUAGCGGCGGACGGGUGAGUAAUGCUUAGGAAUCUGCCUAUUAGUGGGGGACAACAUCUCGAAAGGGAUGCUAAUACCGCAUACGUCCUACGGGAGAAAGCAGGGGAUCUUCGGACCUUGCGCUAAUAGAUGAGCCUAAGUAGGAUUAGCUAGGUGGUGGGGUAAAGGCCUACCAAGGCGACGAUCUGUAGCGGGUCUGAGAGGAUGAUCCGCCACACUGGGACUGAGACACGGCCCAGACUCCUACGGGAGGCAGCAGUGGGGAAUAUUGGACAAUGGGGGGAACCCUGAUUCAGCCAUGCCGCGUGUGUGAAGAAGGCCUUAUGGUUGUAAAGCACUUUAAGCGAGGAGGAGGCUACUUUAGUUAAUACCUAGAGAUAGUGGACGUUACUCGCAGAAUAAGCACCGGCUAACUCUGUGCCAGCCGCCGCAGUAA
rnacentral:rRNA from 1 species